rnacentral:rRNA from 1 species
AGAUCCAUUUUCUGCCACCGAAUACAUUAGCAUGGGAUAAUGGAAUAGGACCCUGUCCUCCUAUUUUCAGUUGGUUUUGGCAGCGCGAGGACUAGGGUAAUGAUUAAUAGGGAUAGUUGGGGGCAUUAAUAUUUAAUUGUCAGAGGUGAAAUUCUUGGAUUUAUGAAAGAUUAACUUCUGCGAAAGCAUCUGCCAAGGAUGUUUUCAUUAAUCAAGAACGAAAGUUAGGGGAUCGAAGACGAUCAGAUACCGUCGUAGUCUUAACCAUAAACGAUGCCGACCAGCGAUUAGGAGACGUUGAAUACAAAACACCACCAUCGGCGCGGUCGUCCUUGGCGUCGGUCCUUCUCGGGGCCGGCGCGAGGGCGGGUUAACCCGGUGGCACCGGUUAAUGACUCCCCCAGCACUUUGGGGAGAAAAGA